rnacentral:rRNA from 1 species
AACGAACGCUGGCGGCAUGCCUAACACAUGCAAGUCGAACGAGACCUUCGGGUCUAGUGGCGCACGGGUGCGUAACGCGUGGGAACCUGCCCUUAGGUUCGGAAUAACUCCUCGAAAGGGGUGCUAAUACCGGAUAAUGUCUUCGGACCAAAGAUUUAUCGCCUUUGGAUGGGCCCGCGUUGGAUUAGCUAGUUGGUAGGGUAAAAGCCUACCAAGGCGACGAUCCAUAGCUGGUCUGAGAGGAUGAUCAGCCACACUGGGACUGAGACACGGCCCAGACUCCUACGGGAGGCAGCAGUGGGGAAUAUUGGACAAUGGGCGAAAGCCUGAUCCAGCAAUGCCGCGUGAGUGAUGAAGGCCUUAGGGUUGUAAAGCUCUUUGACCCGGGAUGAUAAUGACAGUACCGGGAGAAUAAGCUCCGGCUAACUCC